AACGAACGCUGGCGGCGUGCCUAACACAUGCAAGUCGAACGGAGAUAAGAAGCUUGCUUCUUAUUUUAGUGGCGCACGGGUGAGUAACGCGUGGAUAAUCUACCUGACGCUCUGGGAUAACAUCUCGAAAGGGGUGCUAAUACCGGAUAAGCCCACGAGACCUUCGGGUCAUGCGGGAAAAGGAGGGGACCUUCGGGCCUUCCGACAUCAGAUUAGUCCGCGUCCCAUUAGCUAGUUGGCGGGGUAAUGGCCCACCAAGGCUACGAUGGGUAGCUGGUCUGAGAGGAUGAUCAGCCACACUGGAACUGAGACACGGUCCAGACUCCUACGGGAGGCAGCGGUGGGGAAUUUUGCGCAAUGGGGGAAACCCUGACGCAGCAACGCCGCGUGAGUGAUGAAGGCUUUCGGGUCGUAAAGCUCUGUCAGAAGGGAAGAAAUGUAGGUGGCUAAUAUCCAUUCUACUUGACGGUACCUUCAAAGGAAGCACCGGCUAACUCCGUGCCAGCAGCCGCGGUAAAAC
rnacentral:rRNA from 1 species